AUUGAACGCUGGCGGCAUGCUUUACACAUGCAAGUCGAACGGUAACAGGCCGCAAGGUGCUGACGAGUGGCGAACGGGUGAGUAAUGCAUCGGAACGUGCCCAGUCGUGGGGGAUAACGCAGCGAAAGCUGCGCUAAUACCGCAUACGAUCUGUGGAUGAAAGCGGGGGGCCGUAAGGCCUCGCGCGAUUGGAGCGGCCGAUGUCAGAUUAGGUAGUUGGUGGGGUAAAGGCUCACCAAGCCGACGAUCUGUAGCUGGUCUGAGAGGACGACCAGCCACACUGGGACUGAGACACGGCCCAGACUCCUACGGGAGGCAGCAGUGGGGAAUUUUGGACAAUGGGCGCAAGCCUGAUCCAGCAAUGCCGCGUGCAGGAAGAAGGCCUUCGGGUUGUAAACUGCUUUUGUACGGAACGAAACGGUCCUGGUUAAUACCCGGGGCUAAUGACGGUACCGUAAGAAUAAGCACCGGCUAACUACGUGCCAGCCGCCGCAGUAAUAC
rnacentral:rRNA from 1 species